AAAAUUCUUCGGGGUCGGGUGAAACGAUAGAUCAUAAUGAUAAUUCGUCAUUCCCAACCGGCGGUGACAGUCCGCGACCCGUAUCGGAAAAGAGAAGGCAGAGGUAAGAGAACUCUUCGGCAAUGAGCUUUCCGGCGGCUGAUUUGGUGGAAUUCCAAAACCGACAGUAAAGUCUGGAUGAGAGAGGAAAGUA
rnacentral:ncRNA from 2 species